rnacentral:lncRNA from 1 species
CUGUUGUUAACCCCAGAAAGCAGGCACUUGAACAUUGGGCAGAGCAAAAUGGUAUAUCAAUGGACUUCAAUUCUCUGUGUGAAGAUUCUAGGGCAAAAGGUUACAUACUUGAAGAGCUCUCGAAGAUUGGAAAGGAAAAGAAGGUUUUAUUCUAUCUAAUUUAAGUUUCUUGUUAUUGUACUAGUUUGUUAUGUAUGGAGCGCAUGUAUGUGUAUAUCAUUAUCAUCCUGAUAAAGUUUCACAUUAAUCUUAAGGGGUUUUUCUACAACUAUCAUGGGUGUAUAUAAUUCCCACACAACAUACUUUUUUUGAAAAAACAACCUUUUCACCGUAAUAUAAAAUAUCAACUAUCUUGUCAUAUGGAUUUUAGUUUGAAAUGGUCUUUAACAUGAAAUAUUAGCAUAAUUAACCAAGAUUCGAUGGCUGGCCCAAAAUCAUUUUGUACAAAGGAUUAUUAAAGUGGCAUGUAUAUGGUCUUAGGUUUUCACCAAUUGAUUCUAUUCUACAUGUGCACGUGUUUGCAUGCAUGAGUAAAUUUCAUGAAACUUUAUGGGAUUAUGCAUAUUUUUUGGGCAGUUGAAAGGCUUCGAGUUUAUAAAAGCAGUUCAUCUUGACCCAGUUCCAUUUGAUAUGGAACGUGACCUUAUCACUCCAACAUAUAAGAAGAAGAGGCCUCAGUUGCUUAAACACUAUCAGGUAAAACUUGUCAUAUUACAAUUUCAUUUCUACUUCAUAGAAUAGAAUGGUUAUUUUAAGUGCAAUCCUCUUCGUAAAUAGAACAUUUUUUUUCUUCCCGGAUAUUUUCGUUCUACCUGGAAAUAUAAAUGAAAAAGGUAUAGAAAUCUCAUCUAAUUGAGUUGACUAUUAGUCAGUUUUUAGAUGCUGCGUGCUCGCAUGAUAUUAGAUGUCAAUCAUAGUGCAAGUGAUGUUCCCUGAUUUAUAGCUUUAAUAUCGUAUUUGUUAUGAGUUAGGCACAGUUUAGUUAUAGUAGUCACUUCACUUACACUUGGCUUGUAUGUAUAUAAACCAGCACCCUAUCAUGAUCAAUAAGGAAGUUUAUUUUCUUCUCAGAGUGCACAUAUAUACGCAGUUAAUUAGUUAUGUAUAAAACAGAUUUGAAAUUGAACACUCUACAUGGUAGUUUAUCCUAAAAUAAUUUGGAAUGUCUAAUGUCAAUGCUAAGUACACAUGCAAAACUUUCUGGAGAGACACAAGAUUUAGCGUAUAGGUUGUUCUAUAGAAAUGAAUGGGCUCCUCACAAUUUUUUAUGAGACUUUACUUACCUCUCUGGCGAAUCCAUUCCUUUGGGAAUUGGAGGAUUAAAACAAAAAUAUAUAUAAAUUGGGUGAUUAGCCUCUCAUUAAUAGCAUAAAUUUAUUUCUUUUUCAACUUCAAUUUUCUAGCGCACCUUUUAACUGUAAGGUUUUAUUGUUUCAGAAUCUGCCUUAUGACUUCAUAGUUUCUGUUUCACUGAAAGUACUAACUGCAAUUUUAUUUGUGAGCGCAGAGUGUGAUCGAUAACAUGUACAAAAGUGGAAGUAAACCCCGUGCCUGAUAAAUGCUUUUGGAGUUGGUGCCAUGACAAGUAGAUAAUUUAAUUUCUGCAUGCGUUUGUGCUUGCCUCUGUUCAAUUGUUUCCUUUUGGUGACUAUCUGUACAUAUAAUUAAUGGUGAGACGGUAGAUUACUGUAAUUUAUAUGCCACACUUGAUCGUAAAAGAUACACAGAUACAAAGUUUAAACCAAUUGUUGGCUACAUUAGAAGAACUUUUGUUAGGGAAGUUCUAUUUCAUCUCUUAGCAAAAUUAACAAUUGUAGCUGUUGUUAUUUUACUUAAAGAGAUAUUUUUCAACGAUUUCUACAAUAAACUGAAAAGUAACAGUUCGUGUUAAUGUUUCUGGAUGAUUGACUAGAUUCUUAUUAAUUAGUUAAAUUUUUGAAUUGCAUAGCAACUCCCUUAAAAGAUUAUGAAAGAGGAAGGAUUCUAAGUCCGAUCAGUCAUUUUUAUUGAAUUACGCUUACAACUGUUUUUUUUACGGGUUGUAAGACAUUUUUCAUACUGGAGAUCGUGUAGUUUUUAAAAACCAUAGAUUAACUCAUUCUUGUUAGGCUCUUAUAAUGGCAGUGAAGUUGUGUUUUGUGCAGUGAUACUUUUCGAAAAAUAUAGUUUAUUUUUUUCCGACGUUAGUACUCAUUUCAUUUGUGGGCUUUUCUUUUUCGUGGUCACACGGGCGAAGGAAAUAAAGUAUCUCGCGGUGACGCAUCAAAGAGGGCACCCGACAAAUCUAUGACCCUAGUUUUGACAUUGAAAGGUCAACUGGUUGAUUCAUUGACCGAUCUACGAUCCAUUACUGCUAAACCUAACUGUACAGCUCAAAAGAAGGAAGGAGACACGGAUGUAUCAUUUCUUCUUAGUUUCAUGCAUAUUCCUUUAAUUAUUACCAUAGAGUGGGAUAUGAUUGGGUACAUUUUUUAGAACCAAACAUGGAUCGAAAAAUGUAUGGAUGAAUGCUUCAAGAACUGUAUGGUAACGUCUCUGUUCAUACAAAUCAAAGUAAUAAAAAGACCCAUUUUUAUUUCAAUUUGUAAGAGUAUGAUAUUUUCAUUUUUCUCUAAUUACUUGAUAGAGCCUAGAGGUUGUUAGGAAGAAAGUCCGUGCAGUUACUUAUAUCUUUGUAGGGGUGGCUAUAUAUAUAUAUUUGCUACUUUUCAAAUUUUUUAUGAUGUAAAAUCAUAUUAUCUAUAAUUUUUUCAUCGUUGGUGAAAAAUACUUAUUCUUAUAAAAAAAUACAUGUGCUUAUAAUUUUUUUAAAAUAUUUUAGAGAAUGUUAGAAAGUUUAUAUACUCCCUUCGAAUAUAAGCCAGAAAACAUUCAUAUUUUUGUAGCCUUAUAUAUAUAAAUAAAUAAAUAUAAUUUAUUUCACUCUAUUUUGUGAUGUUUGUCUUAAAAUAAUUUUUAAUUGAUAUAAAUUUUAUAUUUCAACGACUCUUAUUGUUAUAGAAUAUGUUACCAUCAAAUCCACAUUUGAAAAUAUCUUUAUAUUUUUAUGAGAUCAAAAUAUUUAAUUGUGUUUAACCAAUUUUUUUUAGUAAUUCCAUGAAAAACUCUUGAUAAAUGUAAUUAGUUAAUAUUUGUUAUAUAUAAUCAAGGCCCAAGUAAUAUGUAUUAUAAAAAAGUUUAUGUAUGUAAGUAUGACAUUUUAAUAAAUAUAUGUUGAAAAGAAGCAGGANNNNNNNNNNNNNNNNNNNNNNNNNNNNGCAUGAGAUAACCAAACUCAUAAAUAUAAAUAAAAAAACUUGUUCAAAAAAGAUAGAAUAAAAGAAGACAAAAAAAGAAUACAAUUGAAUCUGUGAGAAUCACACCCCGGACCCACACAUAUAAGAAAAGUGAUGCAAGAAAAACCUAAAAGAAAUUAGCUACACAAACAUAAAGCACUCAUGAAAAUACAAUCAUGACCUUACGACCACACAAAAAUUACUUCUAAGAAGACAUGUGAAUCCGAUCUAUGAAUUAUUCAAUACACAAAACUUUGUUAAAGAAGAUAAAUACUCAUUCUGCAAACUCCGAAUAAUUCACACAGCUGAGUGGCAAACCAGAGCAUGACUCUGUUUAUGCCGACGUUAGAUAUUAUAUAGUAUAUUGAUACUUUUGAUACUUUGGAUGAGGAUGAAACAUUUCAAUGAAAAAGAAUUGCAGAAAUAAAAGUGUACCUUGUUAUAACCACAUAAAUAAAAUAAUAAGUAGUAGUAUGUGAUAUAAGUUUGCUUGCACGUGAGAAUUCCUAAACAUUUUUUUUUCUUAAAAGAAAGAAAAAAGGAAAUAGCUGGAAGAUAUCAG